AGGCAGUAAAUAAUUCAUGUUGAGAUGGCAGAAAUGAACGUUCUCACUGGAUAAAUCGUUAUUCAUGCUUUUUUUGUGAUGCAUGUAAGUAAUUGUAACGCCCGUGAACCGGAAAAUCGGUUAGGAUUUGUAUUUAAAUUGUCCGGUUUAAUCGAUUGGAUUAAUUGGAAACCUUAGAGUGUGCCUGUAAAAGAAGAAAACUCGAAAUUAGGGUUUUAUUUAGCCAUUUUUCGUUUUAUAAAGGAGAAAAAGAGAGAGAAGGAGAAAAACUAGAAUUGUUAGGGUUUUGGAGGAAAUGUUUUCGACAAAUCAAAUCGUUGUCAAAGGUAACGAAAUUUGGUAGGGUUAUUCCCAAGUUUUUUUAUUGUUAUUCUCCAGUUUACAGAAGUGGUUUUGGAUUAAAAUUGGUUGAGUUAUUCUCAGUUUCGUGAGACAUGUUUUCUCAGACGCGAAUUAGGAGCAGCGGGGAUUGUAACUGCGAUCGUAGUCUCAUCUUGUUUCCGAUCGGCAAGAGUUUUUGUGGGAGCUUUUUGACGUCUAAGGAUAGCGUUUCCCCAGAGGGAUUUAAUAGUUAACGGGUAGUUUGUAUUUUAGGGUUCGUCUUUGAGACUGUUUGUUUUUGUUUUUCAUGUCCAGUUUGCUUCAAAGGUUGCUUUUGGUUGUGACAUGUUGUAGGACGUUUCUGAACUGUUUCAGACGCAAGGAGAGUCUCUCCUGUGUUUAAUUGUUGUUAGAAUCAAUUUGUUAAGGUGAGUGCGUGACCAUGAGCUUAUCUGAGCGAUUGGGUUGUAUGUUUUGUUUUGUAUGAUGAUAUGUAUGUGUGGUAAAUGUGUUUUGAGUGAAUUGUUCGAUGACUGGUUUGUUUGUGUUGUAUUUGUGAUUAUACCCUUUUAUUUGCUUGUGUGUAUAGCUCGUAGAUGGGAGGAUCGCCUCACUAAGUAUUUAUGAUAAUACUUACGCAUCUCAAUGUAUUGUUGAUGCAGGUCUCUGAGAGAGGGACUGUUGUGACUGUUGAGAUCAAAGCAGCUGAGAUGCUUGUGGUUCAGCUAAAGUGUGAUCGUGGAAUCAUGGUAAGGAAGAGAGGAUGAUCUAGGAACUCGUUUGGUUUAUUGUUAUGUUUUGGUUAUUGAAACCGGUUAGGGUUGUGUUACGAUUGUUAGUCAUUCUUGGUUUUGUUGGUUGAAUUAUUUAUUUAUUCAUAAAAUAGUAUUUUUGACUUGCGGUUUAAUUGUUGCUUUAUUGGUUGGUUUAAUUAGAUAUUUAUGAAAAUAUUUAAUUAUGUUUAAAAAAAAAUGGGUCGGGUUGUUUCAGGAAUAUUAUAUCAGCCCAAAUGAGGCAAUGAAACCAUCGACAUGUCAUUUAUCUGGAUUAAAAUUUUUGUUUACGGUUUUCAAACGAUGUUGUAGCUUUGAAGCCAUUUAAAUUGUUCAAAUUUUUUGUAU
rnacentral:sRNA from 1 species